CGGCGCUUUCCGCGGGGAACCGUGAGGGGUGGGGGAAACUUUGAAAGUUGGAUGCUACAGACCCGGGUUCUUUUUCGCUGCAUCCGAAGCCAUGAGUAGCAGGAAGCUCAGACGAGUGGGUUUAUCACAAGAGCUGUGUGACCGUCUGACCAGAUAUCAGAUUGUUACCUGUCAGGACUUUUUAUGUCUUUCCCCACUGGAACUUAUGAAGAUGACUGGCCUUUGUUAUAAAGGUGUCCAUGAACUUCUGUGUAUGGUGAGCAGGGCCUGUGCUCCAAAGAUGCAAACGGCUUAUAGGAUAAAGAUGGAAAUGUCUGCUUCUCUCUUGCCCGCAUUCUUAGCUACAACCCUUUCUGCAUUGGAUGAAGCCCUGCAUGGUGGUGUGGCUUGUGGAUCCCUCACAGAGAUUACAGGCCCACCAGGUUGUGGAAAAACUCAGUUUUGUAUAAUGAUGAGCAUUUUGGCCACAUUACCUACCAACAUGGGAGGAUUAGAAGGAGAAGUUGUGUACAUCGACACAGAGUCAGCAUUUAGUGCUGAAAGACUGGUUGAGAUAGCAGAAUCUCGUUUUCCCAGAUAUUUUAACACUGAAGAGAAAUUACUUUUGACAAGCAGUAAAGUUCAUCUUUAUCGGGAACUCAGCUGUGAUGAAGUUCUGCAAAGGAUUGAAUCUUUGGAAGAAGAAAUUAUUUCCAAGGGAGUUAAACUCGUAAUUAUUGACUCUGUUGCUUCUGUGGUAAGAAAGGAGUUUGAUACACAACUUCAGGGCAACAUGAGAGAAAGAAACAAGUUCUUGGCAAGAGAAGCGGCCUCCUUGAAGUAUUUGGCUGAGGAAUUUUCAAUCCCAGUUAUCUUGACGAAUCAAAUUACAACGCAUCUAAGCAGAGCCCUAGCUUCUCAGGCAGACCUGGUGUCUCCAGCUGAUGAUUUGUCCCUGUCUGAAGGCACUUCUGCUUCCAGCUGUGUGAUGGCUGCCCUAGGAAACACCUGGAGUCACAGUGUAAACACCCGACUGAUUCUCCAGUACCUUGGUUCAGAGAGAAGACAGAUUCUCAUCGCCAAGUCCCCGCUGGCUCCCUUCACCUCAUUUGCCUACACCAUCAAGAAGGAAGGCCUGGUUCUACAAGCCUGAUAGCGGAAGCGUCAGCAAUUUGGAAAGAAGGCCUUCCAAAGAGAGAGGCCUUGGAAGCCCUGAGACAAUGUCCUUUCUGUUAAGCAUGGACCUUUAUGGCUGAAUAUGGGCUAAAACAGGAAAGAGAGCCGGGAGGAUCUCUCAGAGCAUGGCCCUGUGAAGGGAGGAUGGCCAGAGGAGGCUUUUAAGAAAAGAGAGGGUAGGGUCUCCUGGACACUUUCUGUGAGUGGAAGGCCUCGGGAAGAUGGCAAAGGGAAAAGAAGAAGGGAAAGAGUAUGAGCACUGGAAGAAAAAAUGCUUCCAGUGGGGUUGGCAGGAAGAGAGACUCAACACACCAUUUGAAAGUAGGUCUUCCACCCCGAUGUUUCUAGCAGCCAUGUCCACAAUAGCCAAACUGUGGAAGGAGCCUCGGUGCCCAUCGAAAGAUGAAUGGAUAAAGAAGAUGUGGUUUAUGUAUACAAUGGAAUAUUACUCAGCCAUUAGAAACAACAAAUACCCACCAUUUGCUUCAACGUGGAUGGAACUGGAGGGUAUUAUGCUGAGUGAAGGGCUUUGAAACCCCAGUGUGUCUGGCUAAGUACAGGAACCCCUGGAACGCAGUUCUGAUUUUAGUGCUGCCCUUGAAUGCAGCGAUGUCUCAGUUUUUCACAGGGCAGGAGGAACUUAUCUUCACUACCCUCCAGGAACCAAAGAAUGAACAGCCAGAUUACCUUUUGAAGAUGGACCACACCCCUUUCUUGGGGCUAAGGGGAGAACCAUGGAAAUGAGUGAUCCUCCUCACCAGCCACAAGUGAGAGCUUUUGUCUUGAUUCUUUUCUUUUCUUUCUUUCUUUUUUUUUUUUGUCUUGAUUCUUUAGUCAUAAUCCAGCAGGACAUUUUACAGGGCAGAUGGAUGUGGUGGGCAAAAUGGCAGCCUCCAGAAGAUAUGUCCACAUUCCAACCCCUGGAACCUGUGAAUGUGAACUUCUUUGGAAUAGGGUCUUUGCAAAUGUAAUUAAGUGAAGGAUCUUGAGAUAAGAUCAUCCUGGUUUACCUAGGUGGGCUCUAAAUCCAAUGACAAGUGUCCUUAUAAGAGAAACAGGAAAAAGAGGAGGCCAUUUGAGCAUAGAGGCAGAGAAUGGAGUUAUGCGGCCCCAAGCCCAGGAAUGACUGGAGUUAUCAGAGGCUGGAAGAAGCAGAGACAUGUUCUCCUCAAG